CAACAAAUGUAGGUUAUUUCUGACAAAAAUCGUGAAAACAGUUCCAAGCAAAAAUGAAAUCAUCGAAUGGGUCCAGUUAGUUUUGAAUUAGUACGCGCUGAAUUGCGUGCAAAGAAGGAGGACAAUGAAGAUCCAUCACAAUCUGAGAUGUUUGUUGUAACUCGUACGAGCAAAAAAAGAGAGACUGAUUUAGGAACACAAGAGACAAUUGAACAUUUUUAAAAAAUGAUGAUGAAGCAGGAUACAAUGAUGAUGAAGCAGUUCAAACAGUUUUCGGAAAGAAG